UCAACUUUUGAAUCCCUCCUU
rnacentral:piRNA from 1 species